rnacentral:rRNA from 1 species
GACGAACGCUGGCGGCGUGCCUAAUACAUGCAAGUAGAACGCUGAAGGAGGAGCUUGCUCUUCUGGAUGAGUUGCGAACGGGUGAGUAACGCGUAGGUAACCUGCCUGGUAGCGGGGGAUAACUAUUGGAAACGAUAGCUAAUACCGCAUAAGAGUAGAUGUUGCAUGACAUUUGCUUAAAAGGUGCAAUUGCAUCACUACCAGAUGGACCUGCGUUGUAUUAGCUAGUUGGUGGGGUAACGGCUCACCAAGGCGACGAUACAUAGCCGACCUGAGAGGGUGAUCGGCCACACUGGGACUGAGACACGGCCCAGACUCCUACGGGAGGCAGCAGUAGGGAAUCUUCGGCAAUGGACGGAAGUCUGACCGAGCAACGCCGCGUGAGUGAAGAAGGUUUUCGGACCGUAAAGAUCUGUUGUAAGAGAAGAACGAGUGUGAGAGUGGAAAGUUCACACUGUGACGGUAUCUUACCAGAAAGGGACGGCUAACUACGUG